AACGAGGUGUUGCAUGGCUGUCGUCAGCUCGUGCCGUGAGGUGUUACGGUUAAGUCCUGUAACGAGCGCAACCCCUGCCGUUAGUUACAUGUGUCUAACGGGACUGCCCGGCUCAACUGGGAGGAAGGUGGGGACGACGUCAAGUCAGCAUGGCCUUUAUAUCCUGGGCUACACACACGCUACAAUGGUCGGUACAAUGGGUCGCCAAGCCGCGAGGCGGAGCCAAUCCUCCAAAACCGGCCUCAGUUCAGAUUGUAGGCUGCAACUCGCCUGCAUGAAGUUGGAGUUGCUAGUAACCGCGCGUCAGCUAUAGUGCGGUGAAUACGUUCCCGGGGCUU
rnacentral:rRNA from 1 species